UUUUUUCUCCCAUCCGUGUCCAUUCUUAAACCCGAUCGUGAUAUCCUAAUCUAACCGAUGCUGCAAUCCCGCCGGUCACUUCAAGCAUCCGCUGCGUACAAGACAGACGAUAACAUUUAAUCAACUGUCCAAAAAAAACGAAGGAAAACAACAUUUAAUCAUGUGUCACCGGAUCCCUACACAAAGAGAGGGACAAGGACAAGUAUUCCUUAUAAAUAGGUAGGGCCAGGUCUUAAUGCAGCACUUGUUUAUCUCUCAAAUCUCUCCCUCCAUAAAUCUAUGACGACAAGAUAAAAGCAUGCA
rnacentral:lncRNA from 1 species